CGCGGCCUAUCAGCUUGUUGGUGAGGUAAUGGCUCACCAAGGCUUCGACGGGUAGCCGGCCUGAGAGGGCGACCGGCCACACUGGGACUGAGAUACGGCCCAGACUCCUACGGGAGGCAGCAGUGGGGAAUAUUGCACAAUGGGCGCAAGCCUGAUGCAGCAACGCCGCGUGCGGGAUGACGGCCUUCGGGUUGUAAACCGCUUUCAGUAGGGACGAAGCUAACGUGACGGUACCUACAGAAGAAGGACCGGCUAACUACGUGCCAGCAGCCGCGGUGAUACGUAGGGUCCGAGCGUUGUCCGGAAUUAUUGGGCGUAAAGGGCUUGUAGGCGGUCCGUCGCGUCAGGAGUGAAAACUCGGGGCUUAACCCCGAGCCUGCUUUUGAUACGGGCGGACUAGAGGGAUGCAGGGGAGAACGGAAUUCCUGGUGGAGCGGUGGGAUGCGCAGAUAUCAGGAGGAACACCGGUGGCGAAGGCGGUUCUCUGGGCAUCACCUGACGCUGAGAAGCGAAAGCGUGGGGAGCAAGCAGGCUUAGAUACCCUGGUAGUCCACGCCGUAAACGGUGGGCACUAGGUGUGGGGGACAUUCCACGUUCUCCGUGCCGAAGCUAACGCAUUAAGUGCCCCGCCUGGGGAGUACGG
rnacentral:rRNA from 1 species